rnacentral:lncRNA from 1 species
ACCACCAACUCAAAAGCCAAGUUUUUCCUUCUUGUCAACUUCAACUGUCCAAAGCCAGAGACAAAGUCCAAAGCCUUUUACAUCCCACUUCUUCUCUCAGUGUGGUCAGAAACCCCCAACUUCCAUUCCUGGGAACAUUCUGUUGGCACCUUCUCUCGAUUGACAGCUAGACAUUUCUCACUUGACCUCUACGUACCUUGGACUAUUGAGAUCUGCACUGGUCACAGGUUAAGGACAUUCCUAUUCUGGCUUUUCCCAGGAAAAAGUGAGUUGGAGAGAGUGAAAGGCACAUAGUCACAUGGUCAUGCCUAGCUAAUCUGUUUGCUGCUCACCUUCUGUCUCCAUCAAAUGACCAGAAUCCUGCUAUCUAGCCAAAAACUGUUUACGAGCUGAAACGCCAGGCAAGUCUGCAGAUCAAGAGACCUUGAUUGCUAACAUAACCCCAGUGAUAUCAUUCCUUUUGAGUCUCUCUGGUUGGACAAACUUGACCUUAGUCCUGGUCAGAGACUGCCCUUCCAGAUGCCAGGAAUCACAGGAUAAGGAGCAAGCAUCUUCUAGAAAACCAGGGAGCCACAAGGCCUCUAGCAUCCUCCCAAAGUACACGUGUAUGCUCAAAGAAUGGGGCUGAG